UGGCCGUAAACGAUGUGGGCUUGGUGUUGGAAUGGCUCCGAGCUGCUCCAGUGCCGAAGGGAAGCUGUUAAGUCCACCGCCUGGGAAGUACGGUCGCAAGACUGAAACUUAAAGGAAUUGGCGGGGGGAGCACCACAACGCGUGGAGCCUGCGGUUUAAUUGGAUUCAACGCCGGAAAUCUUACCGGGACCGACAGCAACAUGAAGGCCAAGCUGAAGACUUUGCCGGAUUAGCUGAGAGGAGGUGCAUGGCGUAGUCGUGU
rnacentral:rRNA from 1 species